ACAAGUAGCGGAGCAUGUGGUUUAAUUCGAAGCAACGCGAAGAACCUUACCUAAGCUUGACAUCCCAAUGACAUCUCCUUAAUCGGAGAGUUCUCUUCGGGGACAUUGGUGACAGGUGGUGCAUGGUUGUCGUCAGCUCGUGUCGUGAGAUGUUGGGUUAAGUCCCGCAACGAGCGCAACCCUUGUCUUUAGUUGCCAUCAUUAAGUUGGGCACUCUAGAG
rnacentral:rRNA from 1 species